rnacentral:rRNA from 1 species
UACGGGGGGGGUAAGCGUUGUUCGGAAUUACUGGGCGUAAAGGGCUCGUAGGCGGCCAACUAAGUCGGACGUGAAAUCCCUCAGCUUAACUGGGGAACUGCGUCCGAUACUGGAUGGCUUGGAUUUGGGAGAGGGAUGCGGAAUUCCAGGUGUAGCGGUGAAAUGCGCAGAUAUCAGGAGGAACACCAAUUGCGAAGGCAGCUCGCUGGGACGUUACUGACGCUGAGGAGCGAAAGCGUGGGGAGCGAACAGG